rnacentral:misc_RNA from 1 species
GAUGAAGAACGCAGUGAAAUGCGAUAAGUAAUGUGAAUUGCAGAAUUCAGUGAAUCAUCGAAUCUUUGAACGCACAUUGCGCCCCCUGGUAUUCCGGGGGGCAUGCCUGUUCGAGCGUCAUUUCACCACUCAAGCCUCGCUUGGUAUUGGGCAACGCGGUCCGCCGCGUGCCUCAAAUCGACCGGCUGGGUCUUCUGUCCCCUAAGCGUUGUGGAAACUAUUCGCUAAAGGGUGCUCGGGAGGCUACGCCGUAAAACAAACCCAUUUCUAAGGUUGACCUCGGAUCAGGUAGGGAUACCCGCUGAACUUAAGCAUAUCAAAAGCGGAGGA